rnacentral:rRNA from 1 species
GAUGAACGCUGGCGGCGUGCCUAAUACAUGCAAGUCGAGCGAACAGACGAGGAGCUUGCUCCUCUGACGUUAGCGGCGGACGGGUGAGUAACACGUGGAUAACCUACCUAUAAGACUGGGAUAACUUCGGGAAACCGGAGCUAAUACCGGAUAAUAUAUUGAACCGCAUGGUUCAAUAGUGAAAGACGGUUUUGCUGUCACUUAUAGAUGGAUCCGCGCCGCAUUAGCUAGUUGGUAAGGUAACGGCUUACCAAGGCAACGAUGCGUAGCCGACCUGAGAGGGUGAUCGGCCACACGGGAAGUGAGACACGGUCCAGACUCCUACGGGAGGCAGCAGUAGGGAAUCUUCCGCAAUGGGCGAAAGCCUGACAGAGCAACGCCGCGUGAGUGAUGAAGGUCUUCGGAGCGUAAAACUCUGUUAUGAGGGAAGAACAAAUGUGUAAGUAACUAUGCAGGUCUUGACGGUACCGAAUCAGAAAGCAACGGCUAACUACGUG